rnacentral:rRNA from 1 species
AGAGUUUGAUCCUGGCUCAGGACGAACGCUGGCGGCAUGCCUAACACAUGCAAGUCGAACGGAACUUGUUGAAUGAAGUUUUCGGAUGGAUUUUGAUAAGUUUAGUGGCGGACGGGUGGGUAACGCGUGAGCAACCUGCCUUUCAGAGGGGGACAACAGUUGGAAACGACUGCUAAUACCGCAUAACGUAUCGGAACCGCAUGGCUCUGAUACCAAAGAUUUAUCGCUGAAAGAUGGGCUCGCGUACGAUUAGAUAGUUGGUGAGGUAACGGCUCACCAAGUCGACGAUCGUUAGCCGGACUGAGAGGUUGAACGGCCACAUUGGGACUGAGACACGGCCCAGACUCCUACGGGAGGCAGCAGUGAGGAAUAUUGGGCAAUGGGCGCAAGCCUGACCCAGCAAUGCCUCGUGAAGGAAGACGGUUUUCGGAUUGUAAACUUCUUUUAAGAGGGACGAUAAUGACGGUACCUCUUGAAUAAGCCACGGCUAACUACGUGCCAGCAGCCGCGGU